ACAUAAGCUUGGGAAUAAAGGAAUUGUUACAUGAGAAACGAUUCACAUGGGGAAGUUGGUGAAAAUCCAACACGGUCCCGCCACUGUAAUUGGAGAGCCCGUUUUUGUCACUGGAUAUUAUAAAUUUUCAGAAGACGAAAAGGAGCAGAAUAUUCCAAGAGUCAGGCUACCCUCUUUAUUCUAACAACACCG
rnacentral:ncRNA from 2 species